CCUCUGCCCGGCUUCGGUUGGCAAUGUCCUCGUACUGGGCCUUGACCUCGGCAAUGAUGCUGUCCAGGUCCAGGCUGCGGUUGUUGUCCAUGGAGAGGACCACAGAGGUGUCACUCACCUGGUUCUGCA
ensembl:miRNA predicted gene, 44460